GCUAAGCCGUAGUGGCGCACGCCUUUAAUCCCAGCAAUCGGGAGGCAGAGGCAGGCAGAUUUCUGAGUUCGAGGCCAGGCUGGUCUACAGUGUGAGUUCCAGGACAGCCAGGGCUAUACAGAGAAACCCUGUCACCAAAAAAAAAAAAAGAAACAGGGUCUCUUUUCUUUAUAUAGCCCUGGCUGUCUUGAACAUAUUAUGUAGACUAGGCUGGCCUUGAACUCACAGAGAUCCACCUGCCUCU
ensembl:misc_RNA Gm27651 predicted gene, 27651